UUUAACGCCAUUAUUGCUAAUGUGGUGGUAAAAGAAUUUUUUACUCUCUCCAAGACACUUUAUGUCUUUGAAUUUACAGCCCAAAACAUUUUUUACAUGUGACAAUAUUUCUUCCUAGGGCAGGUCCUGGGCCAAGUCCAAUGAAACAUUCGCCUUUGGUCCCCAAACAUUCGUCUUUGGCCCCCAAAAUUUUUGAAAAUUUUUAUAUGUAAAUAGACCUCCAAUUUGUGAAAAAAAUAUUUUUUAGGCUCCCAAAUUUUUGAAGUCUUUACUAAAUGGUCUUGGAUCUCCAAACUCUCAAGGCCGGCCCUGUUCCUAGUCAAUGUCUUUCAUGCCCUUAUGUCUUUGGAAAGUAAAUGAAAAAAAUUCAAACCGGUUGGAGCCUAUUGGUUUACCUAUUAUACCAACCACUCUC
rnacentral:lncRNA from 1 species